rnacentral:rRNA from 1 species
AUACAGAGGGUGCAAGCGUUAUUCGGAAUUACUGGGCGUAAAGCGCGCGUAGGCGGAUGAUUAAGUCAGUUGUGGAAGCCCUGGGCUCAACCUAGGAACUGCAUCUGAUACUGGUCGUCUAGAGUUUAAGAGAGGGAAGUGGAAUUCCAGGUGUAGCAGUGAAAUGCGUAGAUAUCUGGAGGAACAUCAGUGGCGAAGGCGACUUCCUGGCUUAAAACUGACGCUGAGGUGCGAAAGCGUGGGUAGCGAACGGGAUUAGAUACCCUUGUAGUCC